GUCUAUGGCCAUACCACCCUGAACGUACCCAAUCUUGUCUGAUCUCAGAAGCUAAGCAGGGUUAAGCCUGGUUAGUACUUGGAUGGGAAAUUAAAAGUGAGGAAAAAAGGCAGGGCACAGUGGCUC
rnacentral:rRNA from 1 species